GGUGUGACUGCGUACCUUUUGUAUAAUGGGUCAGCGACUUAUAUUCUGUAGCAAGGUUAACCGUAUAGGGGAGCCGCAGGGAAACCGAGUCUUAACUGGGCGUUAAGUUGCAGGGUAUAGACCCGAAACCCGGUGAUCUAGCCAUGGGCAGGUUGAAGGUUGGGUAACACUAACUGGAGGACCGAACCGACUAAUGUUGAAAAAUUAGCGGAUGACUUGUGGCUGGGGGUGAAAGGCCAAUCAAACCGGGAGAUAGCUGGUUCUCCCCGAAAGCUAUUUAGGUAGCGCCUCGUGAACUCAUCUUCGGGGGUAGAGCACUGUUUCGGCUAGGGGGUCAUCCCGACUUACCAACCCGAUGCAAACUACGAAUACCGAAGAAUGUUAUCACGGGAGACACACGGCGGGUGCUAACGUCCGUCGUGAAGAGGGAAACAACCCAGACCGCCAGCUAAGGUCCCAAAGUCAUGGUUAAGUGGGAAACGAUGUGGGAAGGCACAGACAGCCAGGAUGUUGGCUUAGAAGCAGCCAUCAUUUAAAGAAAGCGUAAUAGCUCACUGGUCGAGUCGGCCUGCGCGGAAGAUGUAACGGGGCUAAACCAUGCACCGAAGCUGCGGCAGCGACACUAUGUGUUGUUGGGUAGGGGAGCGUUCUGUAAGCCUGCGAAGGUGGCCUGUGAGGGUCGCUGGAGGUAUCAGAAGUGCGAAUGCUGACAUAAGUAACGAUAAAGCGGGUGAAAAGCCCGCUCGCCGGAAGACCAAGGGUUCCUGUCCAACGUUAAUCGGGGCAGGGUGAGUCGACCCCUAAGGCGAGGCCGAAAGGCGUAGUCGAUGGGAAACAGGUUAAUAUUCCUGUACUUGGUGUUACUGCGAAGGGGGGACGGAGAAGGCUAUGUUAGCCGGGCGACGGUUGUCCCGGUUUAAGCAUGUAGGCUGAUUAUCCAGGCAAAUCCGGAUAAUCAAGGCUGAGGUGUGAUGACGAGGCACUACGGUGCUGAAGUAACAAAUGCCCUGCUUCCAGGAAAAGCCUCUAAGCAUCAGGUAACAUCAAAUCGUACCCCAAACCGACACAGGUGGUCAGGUAGAGAAUACCAAGGCGCUUGAGAGAACUCGGGUGAAGGAACUAGGCAAAAUGGUGCCGUAACUUCGGGAGAAGGCACGCUGGUGUGUAGGUGAAGCCCCUGCGGGUGGAGCUGAGACCAGUCGAAGAUACCAGCUGGCUGCAACUGUUUAUUAAAAACACAGCACUGUGCAAACACGAAAGUGGACGUAUACGGUGUGACGCCUGCCCGGUGCCGGAAGGUUAAUUGAUGGGGUUAUCCGUAAGGAGAAGCUCUUGAUCGAAGCCCCGGUAAACGGCGGCCGUAACUAUAACGGUCCUAAGGUAGCGAAAUUCCUUGUCGGGUAAGUUCCGACCUGCACGAAUGGCGUAAUGAUGGCCAGGCUGUCUCCACCCGAGACUCAGUGAAAUUGAACUCGCUGUGAAGAUGCAGUGUACCCGCGGCAAGACGGAAAGACCCCGUGAACCUUUACUAUAGCUUGACACUGAACAUUGAGCCUUGAUGUGUAGGAUAGGUGGGAGGCUUUGAAGCGUGGACGCCAGUCUGCGUGGAGCCAACCUUGAAAUACCACCCUUUAAUGUUUGAUGUUCUAACGUUGGCCCCUGACCGGGGUUGCGGACAGUGUCUGGUGGGUAGUUUGACUGGGGCGGUCUCCUCCCAAAGCGUAACGGAGGAGCACGAAGGUUAGCUAAUCCUGGUCGGACAUCAGGAGGUUAGUGCAAUGGCAUAAGCUAGCUUGACUGCGAGCGUGACGGCGCGAGCAGGUGCGAAAGCAGGUCAUAGUGAUCCGGUGGUUCUGAAUGGAAGGGCCAUCGCUCAACGGAUAAAAGGUACUCCGGGGAUAACAGGCUGAUACCGCCCAAGAGUUCAUAUCGACGGCGGUGUUUGGCACCUCGAUGUCGGCUCAUCACAUCCUGGGGCUGAAGUAGGUCCCAAGGGUAUGGCUGUUCGCCAUUUAAAGUGGUACGCGAGCUGGGUUUAGAACGUCGUGAGACAGUUCGGUCCCUAUCUGCCGUGGGCGCUGGAGAAUUGAGGGGGGCUGCUCCUAGUACGAGAGGACCGGAGUGGACGCAUCACUGGUGUUCGGGUUGUCAUGCCAAUGGCACUGCCCGGUAGCUAAAUGCGGAAGAGAUAAGUGCUGAAAGCAUCUAAGCACGAAACUUGCCCCGAGAUGAGUUCUCCCUGAGACU
rnacentral:rRNA from 1 species